rnacentral:rRNA from 1 species
AACGAACGCUGGCGGCAUGCCUAACACAUGCAAGUCGAACGAGACCUUCGGGUCUAGUGGCGCACGGGUGCGUAACGCGUGGGAAUCUGCCCCCUGGUUCGGAACCACAGUUGGAAACGACUGCUAAUACCGGAUAAUGCAUCAGGUCCAAAGAUUUAUCGCCCAAGGAUGAGCCCGCGUCGGAUUAGCUAGUUAGUGAGGUAAAAGCGCACCAAGGCGACGAUCUGUUGCUGGUCUGAGAGAAUGAUCAGCCACACUGGUACUGAGACACGGCCCAGACUCAGACGGGAGGCAGCAGUGGGGAAUAUUGGACUAUGGGCGAAAGCCUGAUCCGGCAAUGCCGCGAGAGUGAUGAAGGCCUUAGGGUUGUAAAGCUCUUUUACCCGGGAUGAUAAUGACAGUACCGGGAGAAUAAGCCCCGGCUAACUCCGUGCCAGCCGCCGCGGUAACAC